GGAUCACCCCUGUUUCACAUUAUGAUUGCCCCUUCAGUUAUACUGUUGAAAAAUUUGAAUCUCAGACAUUAAUGGGUCAAGUGGUUAUAGUUGGAAAUAGUGCAAACCUGGAUUUAUUUUAAGCAAUUUUGGACAUAUCUUGUUUUAAAUGUUAGGGAGCAUAUUUUGGAAUUUUCAAAGAAAACAUUUAUCUAAGUGUGACAAGAUUCAGGAAAUGUUUGGUUGUUGUAAUUGAACCUAAAGAUCAAUGACCUGGGACAGGAAGAUAAACAAAAGAAACAUGAUAGUAAAAAGGUUCAGAGUCAGCUUGUAAGCAAGUUUGCAGGACUGUUCCAAACUACAAGAAGAUGGCAAUCCAGCUUUGCUGUGUUUUAUCAUAGUAUAAAGCAGAGGAAUAUACUGGAAUGUCAUUGGCAUUGGCACCUUCAAAGUCAAGUGAUUAAGGAAGCCAACUGUAGACCAGGAAAGGCUUCAAGGAAUAUACUACAGAAUUGUAUCCUGGAGCAUUUUCCACAUGUGACCCCUGUGAUGGUGAGGGAAAAUUUACUAAGGGACACUUUAAAAUCAUGAAGAGUGAACAGGAAUUCAAAAGAUAGAUAUUUGAAUACAUUAAAAUAUAGCCGGAUACCAAAAAAUUAUAACUGAACAUUGAUUGUAAUAUUUACCAUUAAAGACUAUAUAUAACUAACUUAACUUUUCAUUUGUAGUGCAUUACUGUUUACUUCACACUGACAUUAAAUGUUUCAGUGAGUCAUGUGAUCAUUUUUUGCUCUGUAUUAUUAAAAAAAAGAUGUUUCUUAAUUCCUUAAAAGGACAAUAUAAUUGCUCUUUUCAGAAUAUUUCAUUGGAUGUUAUAUUUUCUGAUUUUCCAUGGAUAUUCUAGAAAUUUCCAAGGUUUUUGCUCAAAUAAACCUUGGAAAAUUCUCUGAUGCCCUUAAGUAAGAAUCCUCGAAAAAUAUAACAGUAUUCCCAGUUGUGAGAAACUUUCCAAGGUUUUCAUUUAAAAACCUUGGAAAGCAAACCACGGAAACACUUUAAAAAUCCUUGGAAAUCGUUCCAAUACUCCGAGGUCACUCAUUUUCCAAGGUUUUCUAAAAAAAAUCCUCGGAAAUUAUUUAACGAGGUUUUUAUUCUGAAAUCCUUGGAAAUCGUUCCAAUACUCCGAGGUCAUACUUUUUACGAGGUUUUUUUUUAAUAAAAACUCGGAAAUUUUUUACAAGGUUUUUCACCCUCUCCCUAUUUUUCCAAGGUUUUUUUAAUAGCAAAGUUUUGCAUUUUCUUGUUCCAAUACUCCGAGGUUUUUUUCCAAGGAUUUUGAGCCAAAAACCUUGGAAAAUCUACACCC